UACGUAGGGUGUAAGCAUUAAUCGGAGUUAUUGGGCGUAAAGGGCGCGUAGGCGGAAGUAUAAGUCAGAUGUGAAAUUCCGGGGCUCAACUUCGGAGCUGCAUUUGAAACUGUACAUCUAGAGGGUUGACGGAGAAAAUGGAAUUCCACGUGUAGCGGUGAAAUGCGUAGAUAUGUGGAAGAACACCGGUGGCGAAGGCGAUUUUCUAGUUAACACCUGACGCUGAGGCGCGAAAGCAAGGGGAGCAAACAGG
rnacentral:rRNA from 1 species